AAUUUGAGUAACCGUCGAAGUUAUGUACCUGCGCUUGCCUAGUUUCGAAGAACCGCCCUCGUCUCUUUAAAGAACCUUCCGCGUCGUGUUCUUCCCUCUCCAUCAUUGUCUUUAUAUAAGAAUUCGAUCCGCACUUUCCAACCCGUGCUCGGUAACCGAUCCGGAAUAUGUGUAAGGCCGUUGAAGCCCCGCCGUCGUCAACUCAGUCGACGGAGAGGCCCGUCGAGGUGCGAUCUGUUUGGGCUGACAAUCUUGAAUCUGAAUUCAAGUUGAUCCGAUCUUUAAUUGACAGUUACCCGCUGAUCUCAAUGGAUACUGAGUUUCCUGGCAUUGUAAUACGGCCCUCCGCCAAUGAUCCGUAUAACCGGUACCGUGAUCCUAAAGCCCACUACCUGAACUUGAAAAUGAACGUCGAUAUGUUGAAUUUGAUACAAGUGGGCCUUACAAUUGCAGACCACGAAGGCAAUCUCCCGGAUCUUGGCACGGAUAGUUGCUACAUUUGGGAAUUCAACUUCCGCGAUUUUGAUGUGUCGCGCGAUGCACAUGCGCAUGACUCGGUUGAAAUGUUGAAGAGCCAAGGUAUCGAUUUCGAGAAGAAUCGGCAAUACGGUGUGGAUUCCGGUAAAUUUGCGGAACUAAUGAUGUCAUCGGGACUCGUCUUGAACGACUCAGUGAGUUGGGUAGCGUUUCACGGCGCUUACGAUUUCGGUUACUUGGUCAAGUGCUUGACUCAGCGAUUCUAACCGGGGAAAUUAUCGCAGUUUCUUGACACAGUGAGGUUGUUUUUCGGAGCUAGUGUUUAUGAUGUGAAGCAUUUGAAUAGAUUCUGCGGUUUGCAUGGUGGGUUGGACCGGGUUGGGAAGUCAAUCGGUGUGGAGCGGACCGUAGGGAAGAAGCACCAGGCCGGGUCGGAUAGCUUGUUGACGCUCCACGCGUUUCAGAAGAUUAGAGAGAACCACUCGAAGGAUAAAAAAAUAGACAAGUACGCCAAUGUUUUGUAUGGUUUAGAGGUUUUUACAUGAACUUGAUUGGCUGUUGAUUGAUUGUAGAUUUCUCUUCUUUCUGUCUUAGAAAGGGGAUUAGUCUUGUACACAUUUGAGGUUUAACAAAUAUUAAUAGUAGUUGUCAAUUAAAUUCUUUCAGUUA